rnacentral:rRNA from 1 species
UUCCGGUUGAUCCUGCCGGAGGCUACCGCUAUUGGAGUUCGAUUAAGCCAUGCGAGUCGCGAGAAAUUAGAUUCUCGGCGUACCGCUCAGUAACACGUGGGUAACCUGCCCUAUGCUGGAUAAUAACCUCGGGAAACUGAGAAUAAUGAUCCAUAGUUCACUACGCCUGGAACGGUGAGUGGAUGAAAGCUCCGGCGGCAUAGGAUGGGCCUGCGGCGUAUCAGGUUGUAGGGGGUGUAACGUACCCUCUAGCCCUCUACGCGUACGGGUGUUGGGAGACAUAGCCCGGAGAUGGAUUCUGAGACACGAAUCCAGACCCUACGGGGUGCAGCAGGCGCGAAAACUUGGCAAUGCGAGAAAUCGUGACCAGGGAACUCCAAGUGCAUGGGGUAAGACCCAUGCUUUUCUUGACUCUAAAUAGGUCUUGGAAUAAGGGGUGGGUAAGGACGGUGCCAGCCGCCGCGGUAAUACCGGCGCCUCAAGUGGUAGUCGCUUUUAUUGGGCCUAAAACGUCCGUAGCCUGUUUGGUAAAUCUGUGGGUAAAUCAACCAGCUUAACUGGUUGAAUUCUGCAGAGACUGCCAGACUAGGGACCGGGAGAGGUGUGGGGUACUCUAGGGGUAGGGGUAAAAUCCUGUCAUCCUUAGAGGACCACCAGUUGCGAAGGCGCCACACUAGAACGGAUCCGACGGUCAGGGACGAAGCCUAGGGGCACGAACCGGAUUAGAUACCCGGGUAGUCCUAGGUGUAAACGCUGUGAACUUGGUGUCGGGAGUCCGCAAUGGGCCCCCGGUGCCGGAGUGAAGAUGUUAAGUUCACUGCCUGGGGAGUACGGUCGCAAGGCUGAAACUUAAAGGAAUUGGCGGGGGAGCACUGCAACGGGAGGAGCGUGCGGUUUAAUUGGAUUCAACGCCGGA